CUUUUUUUAGUGAAGUAGCCUUUAUACUAGAGAGCAAAUACUUCAGUAUCUGAUAAAUUACUACUAACUUGGUUAAUAAUUGCUUGCAGGGGAGUUUCUCUGCCUUACUAGUGUAAUACUAAAGUAUUCUGUUAUUGCCAGAAAAUGGACCAGAUGGCAAGCAGUUACACCAAAGUACAGUAUUAUUGUUUGGUCUUUAACAUUGAAAAAGGACACUUUUAAAAUCAAGUUUCUACUGUAUUUCAUGUCUUCCAUCCAGUGUUGUAGCAUUCCUCUUGAACUGUAUUGUUAUCUGUAGAUAGAUUUGGGUAGUAUUCACUAAACAAAUAAUACCUAUCUUACUUUUUUUAGAGUUUAGUUUGAAGAAAAUGGAACAUAUUUGCAAGUAGCUCUCUCUGGAUUUAUUUGAUUAAGUUUGGUAAAAUGAGAGACUUUUUGUUUUGGCCAAUAAAUUUGGCAUGUGGAAUAAGCAGAUUAAAAAUAGACAUUAUAUGAUCAUCUUAAGUGAAAUUUAAUGAAAUAGAAGUCAGUGCCCUUUGCAUUCUAUGCUCUGUAUCUAUUUGUAAGAAUGCCAGUAAUAUAUCAAUAAGUAUGGUAUAAAAGUAAGAAUGCUUGAAGAGAUUGUAGUAGUGGCCUCCAAGAAAGGUAAUCAGUUCAAGGACAAAGGGUGGGAUGUGAUAUUGGGACAAAAGGAUAAUAGCAAGCAUAGAUAAAUAGCUAGACAAAAAUGGCAGGGACCUGUGUAUUGAUAUGACAACCAAGAUUAUGCAGUACAUCUUCAGUCAGAUUUUCCCAGUGUAAUCUAAAUCAAAUCUAAAUUUAAAACUAAAAUAUGUUUUCAUGACACUGUAUUGUACUGAUGCUUAAUUUUGUAAUACAAACA
rnacentral:lncRNA from 1 species